AUUGAACGCUGGCGGCAUGCCUUACACAUGCAAGUCGAACGGCAGCACGGGAGCAAUCCUGGUGGCGAGUGGCGAACGGGUGAGUAAUAUAUCGGAACGUGCCCAGUCGUGGGGGAUAACGUAGCGAAAGCUACGCUAAUACCGCAUACGAUCUAUGGAUGAAAGCGGGGGAUCGCAAGACCUCGCGCGAUUGGAGCGGCCGAUAUCAGAUUAGGUAGUUGGUGGGGUAAAGGCUCACCAAGCCGACGAUCUGUAGCUGGUCUGAGAGGACGACCAGCCACACUGGGACUGAGACACGGCCCAGACUCCUACGGGAGGCAGCAGUGGGGAAUUUUGGACAAUGGGCGCAAGCCUGAUCCAGCAAUGCCGCGUGCAGGAUGAAGGCCUUCGGGUUGUAAACUGCUUUUGUACGGAACGAAACGGCGAGCUCUAAUACAGUUCGCUAAUGACGGUACCGUAAGAAUAAGCACCGGCUAACUACGUGCCAGCAGCCGCCGCAG
rnacentral:rRNA from 1 species